rnacentral:rRNA from 1 species
GACGAACGCUGGCGGCGUGCUUAACACAUGCAAGUCGAACGGGCCUUGUCCCCUUUUUUUUGGGGGUGGGGUUAGUGGCGAACGGGUGAGUAACACGUGAGUAACCUGCCCCUCACUUCUGGAUAACCGCUUGAAAGGGUGGCUAAUACGGGGUGUUCUGGCCUGCUCGCAUGGGUGGGUUUGGAAAGAUUCGACCGGUUUUGGUUGUUUUGGUGGGGGAUGGGCUCGCGGCCUAUCAGCUUGUUGGUGGGGUGAUGGCCUGCCACGGCUUUGACGGGUAGCCGGCCUGAGAGGGUGGGCGGUCACACUGAGAAUGAGACACGGCCCAGACUCCUACGGGAGGCAGCAGUGGGGAAGAUUGCACAAUGGGCGCAAGCCUGAUGCAGCGACGCCGCGUGAGUGAUGGAGGCCUUCGGGUUGUGAACCUCUUUCGCCAGUGAAGAAGGUCCUGCUCUGUGUGGUGGGGUUGACGGUAGCUGGGUUAAUGAAGCGCCGGCUAACUACGUG